UAACUAUAACCAUCCUAAGGUAGCGAAAUUCCUUGUCGGGUAAGUUCCGACCUGCACGAAUGGAGUAACGACUUCCCUACUGUCUCAACCAUGAACUCGGCGAAAUUGCAGUACGAGUAAAGAUGCUCGUUUCGCGCAGCAGGACGGAAAGACCCCGUGACCUUUACUAUAGUUUGGUAUUGGUGUUUGGUUUGGCUUGUGUAGGAUAGGUGGGAGACUGUGAAGCAUGGACGCUAGUUUGUGUGGAGUCGUUGUUGAAAUACCACUCUGGUCAAUCUGGAUGUCUAACUUCGGGCCAUGAUCUGGUUCAGGGACAGUGCCUGAUGGGUAGUUUAACUGGGGCGGUUGCCUCCUAAAGUAACGGAGGCGCCCAAAGGUUCCCUCAGCCUGGUUGGCAAUCAGGUGUUGAGUGUAAGUGCACAAGGGAGCUUGACUGUGAGACUGACAGGUCGAGCAGGGACGAAAGUCGGGACUAGUGAUCCGGCACUGGCAUGUGGAA
rnacentral:rRNA from 1 species